rnacentral:lncRNA from 1 species
AUUGUCAGAAGGGGAGGAAAUUGGAAUCCAGCAGCGGCGAGCAGCAGCUGGGCGGUCACAUCUGGGAAUGCAAAGCCGACCUCCCCCUCCUCCUCCUCCUCCCCCUCCUCCUCCUCCUCUUCUCUCACCCAGGAUCACUUCCGAAACCACUUCGCCUUCAGCCCCUGCCUCGGCCAGAGGGAUUUAUUUAAUGGGGAUGUGUUCAAGGCAAGAGCGAAUUCAGAAGGAUAUCGACGUCGUGAUCCAGAAGUCCAGAGCUGAGAAGGACUGCCUGUUUGCAGAUUUCAGAUACUCUGACUCCACCUUUACUUUUACCUACGUUGGCGGCCCCAGAAGGUAUUUAUGUGUAUAGAGUUGCUUCAUUUCCUGUUCACACUCUUGUGUUUCCUUUGUUCUUAGCGUGUUCCGUGUUCGGGUAUUUUGGUUGCUUGUUUGUUUGAUUAUUGUGGCUUUUCUUUACCUGCUACCCAAGCCUGACGUCCCUCGGUUUUAAAUAGCAGGAGGAGGGGAAUCAAUGUUUGAUUCAGGUGUUUCGAGGACCACGCCACAGGCAAUGAGCAGAACUCUUCAUGUUGAAACUGUUCUGCUACAGUACUAGAUUGCUCUCAGGCGAUUUGGGGUUGAUACAGGCACGCCGGUGCAAAACUGGAAUACUGGAUAUGAAGUGAAAUGUAUAAAAGACAUAAAAUGUCACAAAAUAGUUUGAUCAGAAGUGUUGAUUUUCCUGGUGAGUUGGGGCUGCGUGUUUCCAUGUUUUCUGAAGGUUUACAUAAACAUGCAGCCUGCCAAUUCUCUGUACAUUUUUUUUUCAAUGAGUGGUAUUUCGGUUUUCACGUAUAGAAAUUGGAGACUUAUAUGUAGCUGGAGUGGAUGACUUCUUUCUUUUGGGGGAAGAAUGAGAGAUGCACAUUUCGUUAGUAAAUUGUGAACAACUUGAAACAAACCCAAAUCCAAUUUUGAAUUUAGGAAGUAGAGUUAAAAUGAAAGGUAGCCAUUCAAAUACUAUGCCUUGCUACCUUCACUUGUUGAGUUAGGAUUUUCUUCCUUUUAGCCCUUUAGGGACACAGUAGUUUAAAAGAGCAGUAGCCACAUAUGAGAAGUACCAGAUUUAGCUUAGAGGGAAUUCCUUAGACCAGCCCUGCUGUUAGGACUUGACAUUCAAUAUUGUUUGAUCACAUUCCAAAAUAUAUCUUAGCUAAUGGAAACAUUUAUAAACAUAUAAAUUGCAAAAGAAGCUUUCUUGUGUACAUACAUUUUUAAAAGCUUGAAAUUGAUGUGAACUUUUAAAAACACGUAGGAUCUGUAUUACAUUAUACAUCUCAAAACAUUUAAAGUGAAUAUCAUUCCAGUAUAUGCAAUAUACCUAAGCCCCAGAAUUAGCACAUUGAUUUACUAGUUGAAAAUAUAACAGUGAAUCACCAAACUUAAGUGUAUACUUUUUGGGAGAGAAUGAAAUUACAGUAUUUCUUAAUUUACUGUAAUGUCAUCUUUGUAAUUAUGAAUUAAUAAUUCAAUGAGAGGAGACUUGGUUGAUUAAAUUAACGCUGGUCCUACACAUUAUAUCUAAAGGAUCUUCGUAUAUGACUAAUAUCCUCUUGGAUUAUUUUAACAGUUAAAAUAUACAAAGUGGCCCAUUAAAAACAGAGUUGACUUUUCACUAUUGCUGUUUUUCUGGUGAGACAUGUGGACAGGAAGGACAGGUGGGCUUUUCAAGUAACUAGCUUUCUG